AACGAACGCUGGCGGCAGGCCUAAUACAUGCAAGUCGAACGCACCGCAAGGUGAGUGGCAGACGGGUGAGUAACGCGUGGGAACCUUCCUAGUAGUACGGAAUAACUCCGGGAAACCGGUGCUAAUACCGUAUAAGCCCUCCGGGGGAAAGAUUUAUCGCUACUAGAUGGGCCCGCGUUGGAUUAGCUUGUUGGUGAGGUAAUGGCUCACCAAGGCUUCGAUCCGUAGCUGGUCUGAGAGGAUGAUCAGCCACACUGGGACUGAGACACGGCCCAGACUCCUACGGGAGGCAGCAGUAGGGAAUAUUGGACAAUGGGCGAAAGCCUGAUCCAGCCAUGCCGCGUGAGUGAAGAAGGCCUUAGGGUUGUAAAGCUCUUUUGGC
rnacentral:rRNA from 1 species